rnacentral:lncRNA from 1 species
UCAUUAGAUGGGUCGAAAUGGAGAGAUAAAUUCAUGAAAAGAAUUGGAUAAGAUCAAAUUCUCUCUCUUCAUGGCAUAUGUCAUCCUUAUCUUUAUCUCACUUCUAAUUAAGGUUGAAUUUUGAAUUUAAUCACCACAAAAUCACCAUGUGACCCUCUAAUCUGAUUGGGGGCAUGGGAAUUUCGAAAUUGAAAGAGGGAAGUGGCAACAUAAUGAAUGGUUUAGAUUAGAUCAAGC